rnacentral:rRNA from 1 species
AUUGAACGCUAGCGGGAUGCUUUACACAUGCAAGUCGAACGGCAGCGCGGACCUCGGUCUGGCGGCGAGUGGCGCACGGGUGAGUAAUGUAUCGGAACGUGCCCAGUAGCGGGGGAUAACUACGCGAAAGCGUAGCUAAUACCGCAUACGCCCUACGGGGGCAACCCGGGGAUCGUAAGACCUUGCACUAUUGGAGCGGCCGAUACCGGAUUAGCCAGUUGGUGAGGUAACGGCUCACCAAGGCGACGAUCCGUAGCUGGUUUGAGAGGACGACCGGCCACACUGGGACUGAGACACGGCCCAGGCUCCUGCGGGAGGCAGCAGUGGGGAAUUGUGGACAAUGGGGGCAACCCUGAUCCAGCCGGCCCGCGUGUGAGAUGAAGGCCUUCGGGCUGUAAAGCACUUUUGGCAGGAAAGAAACGUCGCGGGCUAAUACCCCGUGGAACUGACGGUACCUGCAGAAUAAGCACCGGCUAACUACGUG